UGAACAAUUUCUCAACAUUAGGGGUGGCCU
rnacentral:piRNA from 1 species